rnacentral:rRNA from 1 species
UACGUAGGGUGCGAGCGUUAAUCGGAAUUACUGGGCGUAAAGCGUGCGCAGGCGGUUAUGCAAGACAGAUGGGAAAUCCCCGGGCUCAACCUGGGACCUGCAUUUGUGACUGCAUAGCGAGAGUACGGUAGAGGGGGAUGGAAUUCCGCGUGUAGCAGUGAAAUGCGUAGAUAUGCGGAGGAACACCGAUGGCGAAGGCAAUCCCCUGGACCUGUACUGACGCUCAUGCACGAAAGCGUGGGGAGCAAACAGG